GUUUCCUGUGACUGAGUGGCGGACGGGUGAGUAACGCGUGGGUAACCUGCCUCAUACAGGGGGAUAACAGUUAGAAAUGGCUGCUAAUACCGCAUAAGCGCACGGCAUCGCAUGAUGCAGUGUGAAAAACUCCGGUGGUAUGAGAUGGACCCGCGUUGGAUUAGCUAGUUGGCAGGGUAACGGCCUACCAAGGCGACGAUCCAUAGCCGGCCUGAGAGGGUGGACGGCCACAUUGGGACUGAGACACGGCCCAGACUCCUACGGGAGGCAGCAGUGGGGAAUAUUGCACAAUGGGGGAAACCCUGAUGCAGCGACGCCGCGUGAGCGAAGAAGUAUUUCGGUAUGUAAAGCUCUAUCAGCAGGGAAGAAAAUGACGGUACCUGACUAAGAAGCCCCGGCUAACUACGUGCCAGCAGCCGCGGUAAUACGUAGGGGGCAAGCGUUAUCCGGAUUUACUGGGUGUAAAGGGAGCGUAGACGGCACGGCAAGCCAGAUGUGAAAGCCCGGGGCUCAACCCCGGGACUGCAUUUGGAACUGCUGAGCUAGAGUGUCGGAGAGGCAAGUGGAAUUCCUAGUGUAGCGGUGAAAUGCGUAGAUAUUAGGAGGAACACCAGUGGCGAAGGCGGCUUACUGGACGG
rnacentral:rRNA from 1 species